rnacentral:rRNA from 1 species
CAAUAGCGUAUAUUAAAGUUGUUGCAGUUAAAAAGCUCGUAGUUGGAUUUCUGGUUGAAGCGACCGGUCGGGCGUUGAUUCGUCUGCACUGGAGUCGGUUUUGGCCAUCCUCUAGGAAAGUGCGUCUGGUAUUAAGUGAUCGGGCGUAUGAUCCUGGUCUUUUACUGUGAAAAAAUUAGAGUGUUUAAAGCAGGCCUUCGCCUUGAAUACAUUAGCAUGGAAUAAUAAGAUAGGACUUUGGUCUAUUUUGUUGGUUUGCAGACCGAAGUAAUGAUUAAUAGGGAUAGUUGGGGGUAUUUAUAUUCCGAUGUCAGAGGUGAAAUUCUUAGAUUUUCGGAAGAUAAACUUAUGCGAAAGCAUUUACCAAGGAUGUUUUCAUUAA